GAACAUCCCGUCCGUGUCUUGUCAUAUGGAUGGGGAUUUGGACUUUGCCGUCGCCGGCUCGUCCUGAAAUGCAUUAGCUCGGUUCAAGCGACCGUCUCGGUGUGAUUAAACAUCUACGCCUUGGCCAAGCCGACGGGCUCACAAAACCCACGUAACAUUUAACG
rnacentral:misc_RNA from 1 species